CGUUGAUUACGUCCCUGCCCUUUGUACACACCGCCCGUCGCUACUACCGAUUGAAUGGCUUAGUGAGGUCUCCGGAUUGGCUUUGGGGAGCCGGCAACGGCACCCUAUUGCUGAGAAGUUGAUCAAACUUGGUCAUUUAGAGGAAGUAAAAGUCGUAACAAGG
rnacentral:rRNA from 1 species